rnacentral:rRNA from 1 species
UGCUUUGCUUUUUCUAGCCUAGUAGAACCACACUGAUCCAUCUCGAACUCAGUUGUGAAAUUCUAGAGCACCGACGAUACUUGGACCGGGAGGUCCUGGAAAAAUAGGUCAAUAGCAAAGCU